UACGAAGGGGGCUAGCGUUGCUCGGAAUCACUGGGCGUAAAGGGUGCGUAGGCGGGUCUUUAAGUCAGGGGCGAAAUCCUGGAGCUCAACUCCAGAACUGCCUUUGAUACUGAGGAUCUUGAGUUCGGGAGAGGUGAGUGGAACUGCGAGUGUAGAGGUGAAAUUCGUAGAUAUUCGCAAGAACACCCGUGGCGAAGGCGGCCACCUGGGCCGACCCUGACGCUGAGGCGCGAAGGCGUGGGGAGCGAACGGG
rnacentral:rRNA from 1 species